rnacentral:ncRNA from 1 species
CUGAUCGGCGCGUCCGGGUCAAUUGCGGAUUGCAACACCCGAUCUCCCUCACUGUGCCGUCAGCACUGACGGUCGCCGAGGGUGAGCGCGUGACGAUCAG